CCACCAUGUCUGACUAACUUUUUAUUUCUUUGUAGAGAUGGGGUUUCGCCAGGCUGGUCUCAAACUCCUGGACUCAAAUGAUCUGCAUGACUUUUCCUCCCAAAGUGCUGAGAUUACAGGUGAAAGCCACCAUGCUAGGCCUCAUUCAUGCAUUUAAAUAGUAACCUGAGCAACUAUGUAAGAAGUCUGGCUGCCAUGAUGCCACCAUGCUGGAGGGACCACAUGGACAUACCAUGAAGAUAUAUAGAGAAAUGCUUUAGAAACCUCAGCUGUUCCGUCUUUCAGCUAUUUGAGUCUUCCUAGGCCAAGGGCCAGAUAUAUAAACAAAGAAGACUUGAUGGUGACUCCAGCCUUAGUCAACGUCUAACUGCAACCACGUGAGAGACUUUCAACCAGAACUAUGCAGUGGAGCUGCUUCUGAACUCCUGACCCAUAGAAACCAUGAAUGAUAAUAAAUGAUUGCUGUUUUCCUUAAAUGUUUGGUCGCAUUUCUCAGUGAAAUCAUCUGUGCCUAGAAUUUUCUUUCUAGAAAAGUUUCAAACUCCAAAUUCAAUUCUUA
rnacentral:lncRNA from 10 species